CAUGCAGUCGAACGAGAAAGUUCCCUUCGGGGAGCGAGUAAAGUGGCGCACGGGUGAGUAACACGUAGGUAAUCUACCUUCGGGUGGGGAAUAACCCAGGAAACUUGGGCUAACACCGCAUAAUGCAGCGGCACCACAUGGUGACAGUUGUUAAAGCGGGGGAUUUUCGAACCUCGCGCCUGAAGAGGAGCCUGCGGCGGAUUAGCUUGUUGGUAAGGUAACGGCUUACCAAGGCGACGAUCCGUAGCCGGCCUGAGAGGGCGGUCGGCCACACUGACACUGACAUACGGGUCAGACUCCUACGGGAGGCAGCAGUCGGGAAUUUUGGGCAAUGGGCGAAAGCCUGACCCAGCAACGCCGCGUGAAGGAUGAAAUCCCUCGGGAUGUAAACUUCGCAAGAAUGGGAAGAAUAAGUAGGGGACAAUACCCCCUAUGAUGACGGUACCAUUUGUAAGCUCCGGCUAACUCCGUGCCAGCAGCCGCGGUAAUACGGGGGGAGCAAGCGUUGUUCGGAUUUACUGGGCGUAAAGGGCGCGUAGGCGGCCAAGCACAAGUCGGGUUGUGAAAUCUUCCGAGCUUAA
rnacentral:rRNA from 1 species